AGAGUUUGAUCCUGGCUCAGGACGAACGCUGGCGGCGCGCCUAACACAUGCAAGUCGAACGAGAGAGAGGGAGCUUGCUUCCUCGAUCGAGUGGCGAACGGGUGAGUAACGCGUGAGGAACCUGCCUCAAAGAGGGGGACAACAGUUGGAAACGACUGCUAAUACCGCAUAAGCCCACGGCUCGGCAUCGAGCAGAGGGAAAAGGAGCAAUCCGCUUUGAGAUGGCCUCGCGUCCGAUUAGCUGUUGGUGAGGUAAUGGCCCACCAAGGCGACGAUCGGUAGCCGGACUGAGAGGUUGAACGGCCACAUUGGGACUGAGACACGGCCCAGACUCCUACGGGAGGCAGCAGUGGGGAAUAUUGCACAAUGGGGGAAACCCUGAUGCAGCGACGCCGCGUGGAGGAAGAAGGUCUUCGGAUUGUAAACUCCUGUUGUUGAGGAAGAUAAUGACGGUUCUCAACAAGGAAGUGACGGCUAACUACGUGCCAGCAGCCGCGGUAAAACGUAGGUCACAAGCGUUGUCCGGAAUUACUGGGUGUAAAGGGAGCGCAGGCGGGCGAUCAAGUUGGAAGUGAAAUCCAUGGGCUCAACCCAUGAACUGCUUUCAAAACUGAUUGUCUUGAGUAGUGCAGAGGUAGGCGGAAUUCCCGGUGUAGCGGUGGAAUGCGUAGAUAUCGGGAGGAACACCAGUGGCGAAGGCGGCCUACUGGGCACCAACUGACGCUGAGGCUCGAAAGUGUGGGUAGCAAACAGGAUUAGAUACCCUGGUAGUCCACACCGUAAACGAUGAUUACUAGGUGUUGGAGGAUUGACCCCUUCAGUGCCGCAGUUAACACAAUAAGUAAUCCACCUGGGGAGUACGACCGCAAGGUUGAAACUCAAAGGAAUUGACGGGGGCCCGCACAAGCAGUGGAGUAAGUGGUUUAAUUCGACGCAACGCGAAGAACCUUACCAAGUCUUGACAUCCUGCGACGGACAUAGAAAUAUGUUUUUCCUUCGGGACGCAGAGACAGGUGGUGCAUGGUUGUCGUCAGCUCGUGUCGUGAGAUGUUGGGUUAAGUCCCGCAACGAGCGCAACCCUUAUGGUCAGUUACUACGCAAGAGGACUCUGGCCAGACUGCCGUUGACAAAACGGAGGAAGGUGGGGAUGACGUCAAAUCAUCAUGCCCUUUAUGACUUGGGCUACACACGUACUACAAUGGCGUUAAACAAAGAGAAGCAAGACCGCGAGGUGGAGCAAAACUCAGAAACAACGUCCCAGUUCGGACUGCAGGCUGCAACUCGCCUGCACGAAGUCGG
rnacentral:rRNA from 1 species